CCUACGGGCGGCAGCAGUGGGGAAUAUUGGGCAAUGGAGGAAACUCUGAACCAGCAAAGCCGCGUGAAUGAUGAAGGUCUUCGGAUUGUAAAGUUCUUUUCUAAGGGAAGAAGAAAGUGACGGUACCUUAGGAAUAAGCCUCGGCUAACUACGUGCCAGCAGCCGCGGUAAUACGUAGGAGGCGAGCGUUAUCCGGAAUGACUGGGCGUAAAGGGUGCGUAGGUGGUUUGGCAAGUUAGUAGCGUAACUCCAAGGCUCAACCUUGGAACUACUACUAAAACUGUUGGACUUGAGUGCAGGAGGGGCAGCCGGAAUUCCUGGUGUAGCGGUGGAAUGCGUAGAUAUUAGGAAGAACACCAGUGGCGAAGGCGGGUUGCUGGACUGUAACUGACACUGAGGCACGAAAGCGUGGGGAGCAAACAGGAUUAGAUACCCGGGUAGUC
rnacentral:rRNA from 1 species